UACGAAGGGGGCUAGCGUUGCUCGGAAUCACUGGGCGGAAAGCGCACGUAGGCGGAUAUUUAAGUCGGUGGUGAAAUCCUGGAGCUCAACUCCAGAACUGCCUUUGAUACUGAAGAUCUUGAGUUCGGGAGAGGUGAGUGGAACUGCGAGUGUAGAGGUGAAAUUCGUAGAUAUUCGCAAGAACACCAGUGGCGAAGGCGGCUCACUGGCCCGAUACUGACGCUGAGGCACGAAAGCGUGGGGAGCAAACAGG
rnacentral:rRNA from 1 species